rnacentral:rRNA from 1 species
GACGAACGCUGGCGGCGUGCUUAACACAUGCAAGUCGAGCGGUAAGGCCCUUUCGGGGGUACACGAGCGGCGAACGGGUGAGUAACACGUGGGUGACCUGCCUUUAGCUCUGGGAUAAGCCUGGGAAACCGGGUCUAAUACCGGAUAUGACUCCGCGGCGCAUGUUGUGGGGUGGAAAGCCUUGUGCGGCUGGAGAUGGGCCCGCGGCCUAUCAGCUUGUUGGUGGGGUGAUGGCCUACCAAGGCGACGACGGGUAGCCGGCCUGAGAGGGCGACCGGCCACACUGGGACUGAGACACGGCCCAGACUCCUACGGGAGGCAGCAGUGGGGAAUCUUGCGCAAUGGGCGAAAGCCUGACGCAGCGACGCCGCGUGAGGGAUGACGGCC